AGGGAGGAUCCCAGUCUUGAGGUCAGAGGAGUAAACCGGUACAGGCCUACAGGCAUCUCCAAAGAGAAAAGGCAGAUGCUGAGGUUAUCUUUCCUCUUGGCCAACUACCAUGAAAGGUCCCCUGUUAUAAGCCAGUGUGAGCUCAGCCUCCCAGCAUGGCCAUCUAGACGGUGCCAAUGUCCCAGCAUAUAAGGAAGGAUCAUGGCCUGUGAAAACGAGCAUGCUGGACACCAUCAGGCUGGACACGGUGCCUCCUCUAGCCCUCUUCCAUCUAAAGAUUAGCGGAACUUCAGGAAUAACUGAGCCAGAAUCAUGUAAAGAAUUCAUCGUGAACCAAGAUCCCUUUAUAAGACUGCUCAGGAUUUAAAGGGAGGUGGCUCAAUGGGACUGCCUGAGAAGGUGCUACAGAGCCACCCAAGUAUCACUCAAAUUCUUCCAGCGAAUGCUAAUAAGGCUGUUUCAAUAGAGACCAUGAAAUUAUCAGUCUGCAAGAGCUCCAUUUCCUGUGGUUUCUUAUCUGGUAAAUAUUGAAGAGGAGAUGUCAUGUGGGGUGAUCAGCUCACUCCAGUCCCCAUCCUUGCAAGCUCUGGGACCAUGCCCUGAGCCCUUCAUCCAGAUGGAGGGUUUAGUUUGUGUUGCAGCUGGCUGGCUUUCUGCAAAGCAGCAAAGCGGGCGGCGAUAGGGAGCUCUAGCACGCAGCACAACCUCAACCAUCCUGGGAGUGACGGCCAAAGCACUAGCAGAUGACGGCAGUGGGACCCAAAGGACACGGGCUGUGCCAGGCCCAGGGUCUCAGUGGGAGCUUCCUUCUCCUCUCCCGGCGGCUCUGGGAAAAGGCCAUCUCUGAACCCUCCCAUGACCCGCUACCUUCGCCGGCACUCAGCUCAGGCUUAUCCUCUUGUCAUCAGAGAGAAGCCUCCUCUUUCCCCUUCUUUCAUGUACUCAGUAUCUGUUACAUCUUUUAAAUAUUAAAUUUAUAUAUCCACAUGGAACAGCA